GGAAAACAAAAUAUUCAUAAAUCUGAAAAGUAUUGGCAAGCAAUCCAUAAAGUAAUUUACGGUCAAAGACUUGCUCAAAGUAUGUCUCCACGAUAUUAUUAGAACUCACAUCUAACAAGUGGGUUCAAAGCUCAAAGAGCUAUUAGACAAAAAAAAAUUAUCCAUGUUCAACUCUAUACAAAACAACAAAAAGUCGCAAAAGCAUUUAUAGAACUUUUUUACGAAAUUGUUUUCUUUGUUCAAAAAAAAAAUAAUUUGUUUUCUUUACAGUUAGGAAGACAUACACUGUAGUAUAAUUGAAAUGAAAUGAAGAAAAAAACCAAAAAUUGUAUAGAAAGGAGAGAAAAAAACAAUACUAGUAAUAAAAUGAAGAGUAGUCAAUAAGUCAUAGUAGCUUGUCCUAUAAAUAGACAUCCAAACACAAAAGAAUUAAGCACAUUGGAAACUUCCACUCUCUUCUUCUUAUUCGUUCCAUCCACUCACUUCAUCCUCUCUCUCUCUCUCUCUCUCACUAGAGCAAUGGGAAUCUUCGAUGACAGUAGCAAGACACUAUGGGGAAGCAUGACCCUUGGUUCUUCACGUUACGCUCUUAACGGCAAAAUCAUGCUCGCUUCCGUUAUCAUCCUCUUCGUCGCCGUCAUCCUCAUCCUCUGUUUCCACAGCUACGCCAGAUGGCUAUUCCGACGUCAAAACCGCCGUAUUCGCCGCCGUAUCAAUGCUCAUCUCCGAUCUCUAUCCGCCGCUCGAGACCCCACUCAAUCAUCCUCCCUCUCUCCUCUCGAUCCGGCCGUGCUCGAGAAGAUCCCGAUCUUCGUCUACUCCGUUAAAACCCACAAAUCUCCGCCGGAGGAAUGCUCCGUUUGCUUGUCGGAUGUUGGAUGUGAUUCACUAGAAGAAGCUUAAAGGAAGGAAGAGGAGCGUAGAAGGGACACAAGGAAAGAAUCAGUCUCGUGUACCAAACACUCUAUUCCAGCGAGAAGGUUUCAAGAGGAGAAGCUUUAGUGAAUAUCACGUGAGAUACACGUGAGGUAUUAUUUACUUAUCUCGUUCAGAGUACGUCUCUGAUUAUCAAGCUUUAGAGCUUCUUCUUCUGCGCAAGUCUUGAGAGAGAGAGAAACAGAUUGAGAGAUUAGAGAGUAUCUAGAGGUUGAUACUUUUGGGGUUAGGGUUUUUUCUGUUCUUCUCUUAUCUUCUUCUUCUCUGUAAACCGAUUGGUAUGUAAUCGGUGGUGAGCGAUGCAUUGUACGACCACACCGGAGGUGCUUUCCGGUCAUCUAUCGAACUUGGGGACCGCAAGGUCCUAACCGGAUGUACCCGUUGGUUAACACGGCGAACCGGGUUAUAUCGUGUGUUCUUUGAUUCAAGUCUUCUUUUGAGGUUUCUUGAAGACUAUCAAUGGUGGCUGAAGGUAGUUUGAUUCUCAACAUCGGAAUUUGAAGAAGAAGACGAAGGACGUGUCCUUCCCGAAUGCGGCCACGUGUUCCACGUUGACUGUAUUGACACGUGGUUCCGGUCGAGAUCUACCUGUCCGCUUUGUAGAGCUCCGGUUCAACCCGAGCAGUCGGUUACUGAAUCCGGUUUGAGGAAUUCAGAACCGGUUGCUCCCGUUUUUCCAUCGGUUAAGCCAAUUGAGGAUACCGAAGCCGGGAGCUCGUCAUCAUCGGACGAAUCCGAUUCAUCGACGCCGUCUUCAUCGUCUGGUUCGCCGUUGAGGUUCCCGAUGGAAGCUUGCGAGAGGGAACCGGUUGAUUUAGUCGGUAUACUUGUUGAGAUUCCCGGGGGAAAUUGACGCUUCUAACUCCGGUUUACCCGGGGACAACGGAUCUAAUAAUCGGGUUUCGAUGAAGAGGAUAUGGGGUAUUUGAUUUCUUCCCUCACUCAAAAUUGUUUGGGACUGAAGAGUCCGACCCGAUAAUUGGGGAACCGGGUGGGCAAGAGAUGGAAUCGUAAUUCGGAUUCGUAAAGAUCGGCUAACCGAACCGGUAAGCAGGGCUACUCGGUCAAUGUAUGUACUGUCGUUUAAGUAGAGAAUCAAAGCAAUCGCUAAGCGAAGCUCUCCCGCCAAAACGAUUCUCUUUGUUCCUUUGUAAUCUCUUAAAAUGGUUUGUUACAGAGUUGUAAUUAAAGUAAAUAAUUACUUUUAUCAUUGUAAAUUUUUUUAAAAUAAUAUGUUCAUUAUUAACCGAAUAUUAGCCUUAAUUGUUUGUAAACCUUGUCAUUCACUAUUUCAUUUACCCUUUUCGCUCAUAUGUUGUUUCCAUUGUACACCAGAAUGUUCAUUCAAGUAAUUGCAUAUCA